UGAAUUUUAGGUAGGUGAGAAGGAAAUCCGAAGAGUAGUUUAGGUAUCAUAGGUAGUCCUGUUUGAGAGUUGGUUAUCCGUCGGUGUUUUCCUUGUGGAGGAUUGUAGUUGUGGGAGUCAAAGUCCUUUUAUUGUCCGGGUCGAAGAUAUGCAGAUAGUGGUAAGUCCAUAAAUUAGGUAGAGUAGGUUUUGGGGUAUCUGGAACUGGUUUCUUUUUGG